AUUGAACGCUGGCGGCAUGCCUUACACAUGCAAGUCGAACGGUAACAGGUUAAGCUGACGAGUGGCGAACGGGUGAGUAAUGUAUCGGAACGUGCCCAGUCGUGGGGGAUAACGUAGCGAAAGCUACGCUAAUACCGCAUACGAUCUACGGAUGAAAGCGGGGGAUCGCAAGACCUCGCGCGAUUGGAGCGGCCGAUAACCGAUUAAGUUGUUGGUGAGGUAAAAGCUAACCAAGCCUGCGACCUGGAGCCGGUCUGAGAGGACGACUAGCCACACGGGAACUCAGACACGGUCCAGACUCCGACGUGAGGCAGCAGUGGGGAAGUUUGGACAAUGGACGCAAGUCUGAUCCAGCAAUGCCGCGUGCAGGACGAAGGCCUUCGGGUUGUAAACUGCUUUUGUACGGAACGAAACGGUGAGCUCUAAUACAGUUUGCUAAUGACGGUACCGUAAGAAUAAGCACCGGCUAACUACGUGCCAGCCGCCGCGGUAA
rnacentral:rRNA from 1 species